rfam:Microbacterium sp. Root180 contig_1, whole genome shotgun sequence.
ACGACCCGUGCGGGAGAGCCUCGGCAGCAGUCAUGUCGAGCACCGAAGGAGCAAGCCUCCCCGCCAAUCUCUCAGGUACGCGUACCGCUCGGGUGAG